UUGAACGCUGGCGGCAGGCCUAACCCCUGCAAGUCGAACGGUAACAGGAAACAGCUUGCUGUUUGGCUGACGAGUGGCGGACGGGUGAGUAAUGUCUGGGAAACUGCCUGAUGGAGGGGGAUAACUACUGGAAACGGUAGCUAAUACCGCAUAACGUCGCAAGACCAAAGAGGGGGACCUUCGGGCCUCUUGCCAUCGGAUGUGCCCAGAUGGGAUUAGCUAGUAGGUGGGGUAACGGCUCACCUAGGCGACGAUCCCUAGCUGGUCUGAGAGGAUGACCAGCCACACUGGAACUGAGACACGGUCCAGACUCCUACGGGAGGCAGCAGUGGGGAAUAUUGCACAAUGGGCGCAAGCCUGAUGCAGCCAUGCCGCGUGUAUGAAGAAGGCCUUCGGGUUGUAAAGUACUUUCAGCGGGGAGGAAGGGAGUAAAGUUAAUACCUUUACUCAUUGACGUUACCCGCAGAAGAAGCACCGGCUAACUCCGUG
rnacentral:rRNA from 1 species